rnacentral:rRNA from 1 species
GAUGAACGCUGGCGGCGUGCCUAAUACAUGCAAGUCGAGCGAACGGACGAGAAGCUUGCUUCUCUGAUGUUAGUGGCGGACGGGUGAGUAACACGUGGAUAACCUACCUAUAAGACUGGGAUAACUUCGGGAAACCGUAGCUAAUACCGGAUAAUAUUUUGAACCGCAUGGUUCAAAAGUGAAAGACGGUCUUGCUGUCACUUAUAGAUGGAUCCGCGCUACAUUAGCUAGUUGGUAAGGUAACGGCUUACCAAGGCAACGAUGCAUAGCCGACCUGAGAGGGUGAUCGGCCACACUGGAACUGAGACACGGUCCAGACUCCUACGGGAGGCAGCAGUAGGGAAUCUUCCGCAAUGGGCGAAAGCCUGACGGAGCAACGCCGCGUGAGUGAUGAAGGUCUUCGGAUCGUAAAACUCUGUUAUUAGGGAAGAACAUAUGUGUAAGUAACUGUGCACAUCUUGACGGUACCUAAUCAGAAAGCCACGGCUAACUACGUG